rnacentral:tRNA from 1 species
GUGGGGAUAGUUUAGUUGGGAGAGUGUUAGAUUGAAGAUCUGAAGGUUGUGUGUUCAAUCCACAUUCAUCAUA